GAUGAACGCUGGCGGCGUGCCUAAUACAUGCAAGUCGAGCGAACGGACGAGAAGCUUGCUUUUCUGAUGUUAGCGGCGGACGGGUGAGUAACACGUGGAUAACCUACCUAUAAGACUGGGAUAACUUCGGGAAACCGGAGCUAAUACCGGAUAAUAUUUUGAACCGCAUGGUUCAAAAGUGAAAGACGGUCUUGCUGUCACUUAUAGAUGGAUCCGCGCUGCAUUAGCUAGUUGGUAAGGUAACGGCUUACCAAGGCAACGAUGCAUAGCCGACCUGAGAGGGUGAUCGGCCACACUGGAACUGAGACACGGUCCAGACUCCUACGGGAGGCAGCAGUAGGGAAUCUUCCGCAAUGGGCGCAAGCCUGACGGGACAACGCCGCGUGAGUGAUGAAGGUCUUCGGAUCGUAAAACUCUGUUAUUAGGGAAGAACAUAUGUGUAAGUAACUGUGCACAUCUUGACGGUACCUAAUCAGAAAACCACGGCUAACUACGUG
rnacentral:rRNA from 1 species